UACGUAGGGUGCGAGCGUUAAUCGGAAUUACUGGGCGUAAAGCGUGCGCAGGCGGUUCGUUGUGUCGGCGGUGAAAGCCCGGGGCUUAACCUGGGAAUGGCCGUUGAAACUGGCGAACUGGAGUGUGGCAGAGGGGGGUGGAAUUCCGCGUGUAGCAGUGAAAUGCGUAGAGAUGCGGAGGAACACCGAUGGCGAAGGCAGCCCCCUGGGCUAACACUGACGCCUCAGGCACGAAAGCGUGGGGAGCAAACAGG
rnacentral:rRNA from 1 species